UACAGAGGGUGCAAGCGUUAAUCGGAUUUACUGGGCGUAAAGCGUGCGUAGGCGGUUCAUUAAGUCGGUUGUGAAAUCCCUGGGCUUAACCUGGGAACUGCAGUCGAUACUGAUGGACUAGAGUACGGUAGAGGGUGGCGGAACUCCGGGUGUAGCGGUGAAAUGCGUAGAUAUCCGGAAGGACACCGAUGGCGAAGGCAACCACCUGGGCCUGUACUGACGCUGAGGUACGAAAGCCAGGGGAGCAAACGGG
rnacentral:rRNA from 1 species